ensembl:lncRNA
UGAAAAUUACUGACUUGUGCUCAUCUGGUGUGCUGCGGAAAGUAUUGGCACCCCUCUGCCUCAUCCGUCGUUGUAAAUGGAGCACCAUAGGAGCGCCAGUGUGCAGAUAUUCCUUUUAUAAACAGAAGCAGGAAUAGUGAACUCUCAGGAGAAGAAGGAGAAGAAGAAGAAGAAGAGGGGGCACAUCAGCGCACCUUUCCCCAGGACAGUCGAGUCGAGCACUUAUGUAUGGAACUGAUUCAGGGGCGGAGCUACAUGUGAGCACAAUCUGUGAUGUCACGAAAGUACAGCGUCAACAGCUUCAGACCAAUCACCUGUGAUAUGCAAAUGUUUCGAAGACGACAGCGUGGUUACAGAAGAGAUCUUUUUUUU